rnacentral:rRNA from 1 species
UACGUAGGGUCCGAGCGUUGUCCGGAGUUACUGGGCGUAAAGCGCGCGCAGGCGGCGGUGCUGGCCCGGCGUGAAAGCCCCCGGCUCAACCGGGGAGGGUCGUCGGGGACCGCACCGCUUGAGGGCGGUAGGGGCUGGUGGAAUGCCUGGUGUAGUGGUGAAAUGCGUAGAGAUCAGGCGGAACACCCGUGGCGAAGGCGGCCAGCUGGGCCGUCCCUGACGCUGAGAAGCGAAAGCAUGGGGAGCGAACAGG